GAUGAACGCUGGCGGCGUGCCUAAUACAUGCAAGUCGAGCGAACAGACGAGGAGCUUUCUCCUCUGACGUUAGCGGCGGACGGGUGAGUAACACGUGCAUAACCUUCCUAUAAUACUUGGAUAACUUCGUGAAACCGGAUCUAAUACCGGAUAAUAUAUUUAACCGCAUGGUUCAAGAGUUAAAGACGGUUUUGCUGUCACUUUUAGAUGGAUCCGCGCCGCAUUAGCUAGUUGGUAAGGUAACGCCUUACCAAGGCAACGAGGCGUAGCGGACCUGAUAGGGUGUCAGGCCAAACUGGAACUAGGAACGGUUCCAGACGCUUAGGGGAGGAAGAAGUAGGGAAUUUUCCGAAAUGGGCGAAAGCUUGACGGAGCAAAGCCGCGGGAGUGAUGAAGGUCUUCGGUUCGUAAAACUCUGUUAUUAGGGAAGAAAAAAUGUGUAAGUAACUAUGCACGUCUGGACGGUACCUAAGCAGAAAGCCCCGGAUAACUACGU
rnacentral:rRNA from 1 species